UUGGAGGGAGGAACCCCUAUAGAGUUCCAAGGAGGCCGAUCCCCUAAAGAGAUCAACCCCAAGUUUAGAAUCUGUAAGGGUUCUAACACCUGGUAUUAGAGCAGCGUUCUUGGCAUCUCGCUGCCCUUCCACUGCCAUCAAUCAGCCCUCCACAACCGCCUAAAGCAAUUCCCACAAUUGCUUAAAAGAUCGUCGCCGAAUUCCGCCAUCAUCUCCACCACCGCGGAUCAUCCUUUGAUCUCCCUGUGAAUUGCAACAGGUUCUGGUUUCCUACCUUACUGCUGCUGUAAUUUAGUUAUCCUUAUUCGAAAAUUAAAAAAAAAAAAAACUGUUCCUAUAUUGCUGCAUAAACCUUUCGUCACAAAGUUUUCAUCUCUACGACGAAAGAUACAUUGCAGAAUUCCAGCCGCAUAGUACCAUCUGUUUGAUCUUGCUACUAUGCUUUUUCUAUCCAAAUUUUUAUUUAAUUUUUAUGACAUCUUUGACACUUCCUAACAGCAGAUUUCCCUUUGGUUUUUUCAAAAAAUUCUAAAUAUAAACCAUUGAUCUUUUACGUCAAAUCUGCUAUACUUGAAAAUCUGCACCAUAAAAUUUCAGUCGCAUAGUACUAUUUUUUUGAUCUUGAUACUAUAUUAUUUCUAUCCAAAUCUCUACAAAAUUUUUAUGAUAGCUUUGGCACUUCCUAACAGUGGAUUUUCCGUUGGUUUCAUCAAAAAAUUCUCAAUAUAAACCACUGAUCUUUUACGUCCAAUCUGCUAUACCUAAAAAUCUGUGCUGCAGAAAAUUUCUGCCGCAUAUUGUUGCCUUAACCCAUCUAUUUGCAAUCUUUUUUGAAUGAAAUUUCUUAUACACUUCAUAGAUCAUCUUGGCUUCCAUCUAAGAUUGAUCUAUUAAGAAAUUCAUCUCUAAAAAUGAUUUUAUAUUGCUACAAAUUUUCGUGGUAACCCGCUGAAAUUUUUCGACGAGAAUUCUGCAAUCUCAACUUGCACCAAUUUCCUUGCUAUUAUACUGCCAAAAUUUUCUUGAUUAAAUUAGAUAUCCUUGUUGUAAUAUAAACUGUGAUUUUUCUAUCAAUUCCCUCCUCAAUUAUCUUACGUUUUUGGUGGAAAUUACGUCGAGAAACCGUUGUUUCUUCGUGAAAACUAUGGAGAGAUCAGUGCACCACUUACUUCUUUACUGAAAAAAGAUGUCUUCCAAUGUUCGAACAGAGCCUCUGCUGCCUUCGACAAACUUAAGGCAGCCAUGACGACGACGCCAGUGCUAGCGCUACUAGAUUUCAAUCGACCCUUCAUCAUUAAGGCUGAUGCAUCUGGAGACAAAAUGGGAGACGUUCUCAUGCAAAAUGGUCGACCACUCACAUACAUUAGCAAGACAUUGUCUCCUGUUAGGACUCUAGCUUGGAGACUCUAGCUUGGAGAGUCCUAAUUGAGAGGGACAUUCAUGUAAAAAUGUUAGGACUCUAGCUAGGAGAGUCCUAAUUGAGAGGGACAUUCUGUUAGGACUCUAGCUAGGAGAGUCCUAAUUGUGAGGGGCAUUCAUGUAGGAGGUUUUUUCUUAGAGAAGAAUUAGGAGUUGUAAGGAAAUAGGAGUCUUGAGUAGGAGUCCUAUUAGGAGUUGGUUAGAAGUAAAAGUCUUAAGUAGGAGUCCUAUUAGGAGUUAGGGUUUAGAAGCCCUAUAAAUAGCCAUGUAUUCCUUCUCUUUUCUUAAGCAAUAGAUGAAUCUUUUCUGCAGCUUUUGAGCAGCAACUUGGAGGGAGGAACCCCUAUAGAGUUCCAAGGAGGCCGAUCCCCUAAAGAGAUCAACCCCAAGUUUAGAAUCUGUAAGGGUUCUAACACCUGGUAUCAGAGCAGCGUUCUUGGCGUCUCGCUGCCCUUCCACAGCCAUCCAUCAACCCUCUACAACCAUCCAAAGCAAUUCCCACAAUUGCUUAAAAGAUCGUCACCAAAUUCCACCAUCAUCUCCACCACCGCGGAUCAUCCUUUGAUCUUCCCGUGAAUUGCAACAGGUUCUGGUUUUCUACCUUACUGCUGCUGCAAUUUAGUUAUCCUUAUUCGAAAAUCCAAAAAAAAAAAAAAAAAUCGUUCCUAUAUUGCUGCAUAAACUUUUCGUCACAAAGUUUUCAUCUCUACGACGAAAGAUACAUUGCAGAAUUCCAACCACAUAGCACCAUCUGUUUGAUCUUGCUACUGUGCUUUUUCUAUCCAAAUUUCUACGAAAUUUUUAUGACAUCUUUGACACUUCCUAACAGUAGACUUCCCUUUGGUUUCAUCAAAAAAUUCUCAAUAUAAACUACUGAUCUUUUAUGUCCAAUCUGCUGUACUUGAAUUGC
rnacentral:lncRNA from 1 species